CGGCAAGAAGGGUGGUCGGUUAUAUGUUGGCGACGGUGCCAUCCGUAAGAAGGACAUCCCAAAACUCUCUCACCUCCGUGCUACCACGUCGAGCUCAGGUCCUGCUAUAGAGCUUCGCCCACAGCCUGGGCUGCACAUGCUCCAUCAACUCGAGGCCAAUGCCAGGCUUCGAGAGGAGGAAGCCAUGAAAAUGCAGCAGGCCCUGUUUCAACAGCAAGAAUUCAUGGUUAAACAACAGGCAAUCCUGCAGGAGACAUUUGCUCAACUCAGAAAUAAUAUGCAGGGUUCCACUUUGCCCGUUCUUCCUCCUCUUCCGACUCUUCCUAAUUUCAACUUUUUUUCUCAGUCGGGACAAGGCUCCAAUAACUGUGUGGUAGGUGGAUCUUCACCUGGCCAAACAAGUCCAGUGACACCCAUUACGGUUCAUGU